GUGCAGCAGGCGCGAAAACUCCGCAAUACGCGAAAGCGUGACGGGGCCAUCCCGAGUGCCGUCCGCUGAGGAUGGCUUUUCCCUAGUGUAGAUAGCUGGGGGAAUAAGGAGAGGGCAAGUCUGGUGUCAGCCGCCGCGGUAAUACCAGCUCUUCGAGUGGUAGGGAUGUUUAUUGGGCCUGAAGCAUCCGUAGCUGGCUGUGCAAGUCCUCCGUUAAAUCCAGUGAGUUAAUCGUUGGAUUGCGGGGGAUACUGUUCGGCUAGGGGAGGGGAGAAGCCAACGGUAUUCCCGGGGUAGGGGUGAAAUACUAUAAUCCCGGGAGGACCACCAGUGGCGAAGGCUGGUGGCUAGAACACGCCCGACGGUGAGGGAUGAAAGCUGGGGUAGCGAAA
rnacentral:rRNA from 1 species